CUACGGGUGGCACCAGUGAGGAAUUUUGCGCAAUGGGGGAAACCCUGACGCAGCAACGCCGCGUGAGCGAAGAAGGCCUUCGGGUCGUAAAGCUCUGUCAAGUGGGAAAAAAAUUCUUUGAUGAACAGUCAAAGGACUUGAUGGUACCACUGGAGGAAGCACCGGCUAACUCCGUGCCAGCAGCCGCGGUAAUACGGAGGGUGCAAGCGUUGUUCGGAAUUACUGGGCGUAAAGAGCGUGUAGGCGGUUUGACAAGUCAGAUGUGAAAGCCCCGGGCUCAACCCGGGAAGUGCAUUUGAAGCUGUUUCACUAGAGUAUGGGAGAGGAGAUUGGAAUUCCUGGUGUAGAGGUGAAAUUCGUAGAUAUCAGGAGGAACACCCGUGGCGAAGGCGAUUCUCUGGACCAAUACUGACGCUGAGACGCGAAAGCGUGGGGAGCAAACAGGAUUAGAUACCCCGGUAGUC
rnacentral:rRNA from 1 species